GGCUCCGGGAACAGUUAUUGAGCACGCGCGGAGGCGGGGCGUCGGGUGCGCGGGCGAGCGAGCGCCAGGGACGAGCAGGCGGGCCAGCAGACGCGGAGGCGGGCUCCGGGAAGGGGCGGGGACGGACCUCCGAAAGACCGCGGGGUGGGGGCGGGGGACGCGGCGACGCGCGCAGGGAGGCCGCGGCUGUGAGUCUGCGCGUCAGUGCUGCUGGCCUCUCCUUGGCUGUUGGAGAGAGCCAGUUGUUAAACAUUUAUGAGCACCCUGUUGGAUACAGCGACUCUGAGGCAAUCUCUUAAUGUGGGAGCUGAGAAAACUCACACCCAGACCUUGCUUUCAAGAUGGAAAGAAGACCCAGAGAACACUGGAGCCUCCUGAUCUGUUCUGUUCAAACCAUCCUCUGGGGGAGACAGCAGGUGGAGGAGGGUGGAGAGUGGAUACCUUCCUAUCCAUCCUUAUCACCCUGAUAUCCCACUGCAAUGGAGGUAACUUUGGCACAUGAUUGGAAACAGUGGAUUUUCUGGUAAGUCCUCAAGUGACCCUGCUCCAGAUGAACUGUCCUAGAAUAAAAUUUGAUUGGCCAACUUCAGUCAGUGAUUACUCUUCACAAGAAGAAGACAGGGUUCCUUGACUGACAGUCCCUCGGAUACUCUCAUAAUAAGGAGCCAGUAAUCACCAACAAGGAAUUCAGAGUGCUUUUAAGAACAGGAGGGCGAAUGGGUGCUGGGAAGCCAAGAAACAGCAAAUGUCCACUACCAUCUGGGGCAUGACCUUGGUGCAGGGCCCCUCCGGAGUUGGGGGAGGGGGCAGGGACCAUUAAUGUGGAAGUAAUCGAGAAUUAAUUGUUCUUUAAAAAUCUCCAGGCAUAAUGUCAAUAGUUCAGAAUGUAACACUAUUUGACAUUAACAGACCUCACACUGAAAAAUCACAGGUAUGUAAAUAAAUGUUGGAAUGAAAAUAAAUAGGAAACUGAAAGAAAAGCUGAGAUGUGCUGAUGUUUAAGGAAGAUCAUAUGUCACUGUUCUGCCUGAUGAACUGAUAAGUAUGUUCCAGCAGCAUUCAGAGUAAGUGGAAAUUUUACAGUUAAACAUGGAACCAGGGGGUGAGAAGAAUGGGUUUGUAGGAGACUUUGUGGACCACUUCAGUUGUAAAUGAGUGAGGAGAAAAUGCUUGACCCUCCCAGCUGUGCCCCUCCCCACCUCUCUUGGUCCUCCCGCUCUUCUUUCCACUUCUCCAAGCUCCACUGCCCUUCAGGACCCAACACAUUUCUUUUCUCUCAGAGCCUUCCUGGAUGAGCUCAAUCCAGCCCAAUCCACAAUGAAAUACCGCUUCUUGUCCCAAGCACAUGGCACUUCCCAAACGUCCCCUUAGGUUGUCACACAGCUCCUGACAUGCACAUCCCGACCUUCACCUAGGGUCAGGAAUAAUGAAGGCAGGAUCUGUCUGAUGACGAGAAGUUGGCUGUUGGACGUCUAAUGUGACCUUUACCACACUUGGUCUUUCUUCCCUUUUCUAGUUCCUCCUCUACCUAAACCUUGAAAAUAGGGACUGUUACCAGCAUUUGUCCUUCCUCUCUCUUUUUUUCUACACUGCACUGUUCUGGAGAGAAUUAAUGAGAGAAUACAUGUAAAAGCUAAAACAAGACUUAAGACUCGCCGUUUUCAUGUUCCCUGAUGCUCAUUGUCCUACUGGUCAAGAUCUUCCAAGCACAUAAGAAGAUUCGUGUAGUGGUUACUAAUAUUGGUAGUAUUGUCUCAUGCUGCCUGUUGUUCCUCAAUGAUCUCAUCUCUUUGGGCAGUUUCAACUGUGGUCUUUAGGGGUGACUCUCCAUCUGCCUCCAGCCAACUCAUCUCUUAACCCCCAGGCCCGUAUUUUCAACUGGAUAUUCUGGAGACGUCAGACUCAACAGGUCCUGAAUUGAACCCAUCCUUCCAUACAAUCCUAGUCCCUCCUUUUACCGGAGCUGUUGACCACAAUCAGAACUGGGCUAGAUGCCACUUACGCUUGAAGUCCCAGAAACGUUUCAGUUCCAGCAUCUCCCUCUCACUGUCAUCCACCCAGUAUCCUGGUUGGGUCUACCAGGUUCCUAAGGUUCCAUUUUUUCUGCAGCCCCAUGCCUGAACUUCAUCAAGUCUCAACUCAAAUCUUGCAAGAACAUCCUGACUAGUCCCUCUGUCUCCACCCACAACCUCAGCCCAUGCUCUAUGCUGUCACUGAUUUCGGUCCCUAAGACACUGGUAAGACUGUAUCAAACCCCAGCACCCUCUCCACAUACCAAAGCUUCUAGUCUCCCUGCUCUUGCAUGUGAACAAUUUGAACUGUCCAAUAUGUAGCCUCAUCUCCUCUACAGUCCCCAGAUUUGAAGCUUCCCCCCACCCACCCAUUUCACAUUCCCAGAAUAUGCCCUUCACUGUCACACAAUUUACCU